ACCUGCACCCAGGUGAAAUAAACAGCCAUGUAGCUCACACAACGCCUGUUUGGUGGUCUCUUCACACGGACGCACAUGAAAUUUGGUGCCCUGACUCGGAUCGGGGGACCUCCCUUGGGAGAUCAAUCCCCUGUCCUCCUGUUCUUUGCUCCCUGAGAAAGAUCCACCUAUGACUUCAGGUCCUCAGACUGACCAGCCCAAGGAACAUCUCACCAAUUUUAAAUCAGGGGCCAGGCGUUCCUCCAGAACCUCCUCCCACAGGAACUUGCUACACGUGCUGGAAAUCUGGCAACUGGACCAAGGAAUGCCCGCAGCCCGGGAUUCCUAAGCCGCAUCCCAUCUGUGUGGGACCCCACGGAAAAUCGGACUGUUCAACUCACCUGGCAGCCACUCCCAGAGCCCCUGGAACUCUGGCCCAAGGCUCUCUGACUCCUUCCCAGAUCUUCUCGGCCUAGCGGUUGAAGACUGACACUGCCCAAUCACCUCGGAAGCCCCCUAGACCAUCACGGACGCCGAGCUUCAGGUAACUCUCACAGUGGAAGGUACGCGCAUGAAAGGAAGAUUAAGAAAAACAAAAAAAUGUAAAUUUACUGGACACUGAAUAUAUACUAAGUACUGCUUAAGUGAUUUACAUGUCAAGAUUAAAAUAUUUUGCUUUACUUUAAUUAUCAUCAUAUUCUUCAUCCAUCUUUCAUUUCAUCUUCAUCAUGCCAUUUCUUUCUCCUUCCCCUGGGCCUGAAAUUUUAUCAAGAAGACACACUUGCUGUGUGACUUGAUUAAUUUACUUAAGCAUGGUAAGCCUUUGUAUAAUAUGGAAUAAACGACGAGGCUGAAUCCUGUUGGAGUGAUUUGUUCUUCGGACUUUGUAUCUUAAAUGAAAUCUUCUCCCUUAGAGGCCACAUAAACUGAUGGUACAAUCUGCAACUCUAAGCAAAUUCAUAGGUUAUACUUUUUCUUCUUCAUACUUGACAUUUGAACCUAGCAAGUUUGAAUAGCCUGUAAUUUGAAAACUCCCUUGCACAUCUAGCAGAUCAAGGUAGCUUGUUCUGCCUUCUGGACAAAUGGUGCCCUUAAGUCAGCUUAGGGAGACUGUUCCGAUAUCAAGAUUCUGUUUGAAUACUAUAUACUCUCAGCUGCUUAUUUAUUCAUAUAUAUAUGACACGUUUAUCAUGGAAGUAUUUCAAAACUAUCU
rnacentral:lncRNA from 1 species